AGCGCGAGACUACACAGUGAUAGCGAGGCAGCACGGGUAGCAAUACCGUGGUGGCGACCGGCGCAAGGGUGCGUAACGCGUGAGCAACAUGCCCUAUACAGGGGGAUAAUCCAGGGAAACUUGGUCUAAUAUCCCAUAGUAUUUAGAGGAGGCAUCUCUAUAAAUUAAAGCUUCGGUGGUAUAGGAUUGGCUCGCGUGACAUUAGCUAGAUGGUGAGGUAACGGCUCACCAUGGCAAUGAUGUCUAGGGGUUCUGAGAGGAAGGCCCCCCACACUGGGACUGAGACACGGCCCAGACUCCUACGGGAGGCAGCAGUGAGGAAUAUUGGACAAUGGAUGGAAAUCUGAUCCAGCCAUGCCGCGUGCAGGAAGACAGCCCUAUGGGUUGUAAACUGCUUUUAUAUGGGAGCAAUAAGGUCUACGUGUAGACUGAUGAGAGUACCAUAUGAAUAAGCAUCGGCUAACUCCGUG
rnacentral:rRNA from 1 species